rnacentral:rRNA from 1 species
AGAGUUUGAUCAUGGCUCAGGAUGAACGCUAGCGGCAGGCUUAAUACAUGCAAGUCGAGGGGCAACGCGGGUAGCAAUACCUGGCGGCGACCGGCAAACGGGUGCGCAACACGUACAGAACCUUCCUUUAAGCGGGGGAUAGCCCAGAGAAAUUUGGAUUAAUACCCCAUAGUAUUACGGGAUGGCAUCAUGCUGUAAUUAAAGAUUUAUCACUUAGAGAUGGCUGUGCGUCUGAUUAGGUAGUUGGUUGAGGUAACGGCUCACCAAGCCUUCGAUCAGUAACUGGUGUGAGAGCACGACCAGUCACACGGGCACUGAGACACGGGCCCGACUCCUACGGGAGGCAGCAGUAAGGAAUAUUGGUCAAUGGAGGCAACUCUGAACCAGCCAUGCCGCGUGAAGGAUGAAGGUCCUCUGGAUUGUAAACUUCUUUUAUGUGGGAAGAAAUGCAUUUUUUUUAAAGUGUUUGACGGUACCAUAGGAAUAAGCACCGGCUAACUCCGUGCCAGCAGCCGCGGUAAUACGGAGGGUGCGAGCGUUAUCCGGAUUCACUGGGUUUAAAGGGUGCGUAGGUGGGAAUGUAAGUCAGUGGUGAAAUCUCCGUGCUUAACAUGGAAACUGCCAUUGAUACUAUGUUUCUUGAAUUUUCUGGAGGUUAGCGGAAUAUGUCAUGUAGCGGUGAAAUGCUUAGAUAUGACAUAGAACACCAAUUGCGAAGGCAGCUAACUACAGGGAUAUUGACACUGAGGCACGAAAGCGUGGGGAUCAAACAGGAUUAGAUACCCUGGUAGUCC